GAGAGUUCACAGGAGGAGGAACCCAUUCUUUCUCUCUUUGAAACUUCAUCUCCAAACGUCUCUCGUUUCUUCUCUUCACGGGGGAGGAACUUUUUGGUCACGGAUACUUGUUGGUAUGUUGGAGGGGAUCCAGAGAAAAGAAAAGGGAGGUAUCAGUAGGAGAAAAAGGGGGAAACCUGAGAGAGAAUGGAGGGUAGAAUAAUGUAUUGAAGACUUGGAGGAGCACUAGAAGUUGGGACUGAGAGGAAGGCCAGGAGGAAGCAACAAUCAGAAAGAGAAAGGGAGAAAGGAAAAGGGAAAAAGGGAACCAGAGAAGAAGGAGGAUUCCACUCGAGAAGGACCAGAGAGAGAACCUAUGGUGGAAGAUCAAGUUCUUGAAGGAAGUCUUCAAAGAGAGGAAGGAUUGUCACAUGAUCUGGUGUAGAUGAAGGAAGAUUUUGGAAGAACAGAUUAGAGGGAUUCAAUGAUAUCUUUGCAGUCAACUAUGAGCUUAAAACUUAUGUAUAGAUUUAAGUUUGAGGUUACAUGGUGUUAAUGUAAUUGUAUUAUUACAAUAUUUUAAAUUUUGAAUUUUAAAGGGAGAAUUUUUGAGAUGUUACAAAAAUAAUAUAUUUAACAAUUUAUAUCGAAUCAACUUUAUUAAAUAA